UCUAUUGCUGCUAUUUAAUUCUCUUAUCUUCCCCCUGAGAUAUUUUUACGUACUACUCGUAGCUGUUAUAAUUGCAUCCUUCAUAUAUAGUUUUGGUCCUUUCUCUGUUUUGAGCUGUACACCGGGGAGGAAGUGGCUCUUACCUACGAACCAAACAGAAGGCUCCAGGGAGAUUAAACCAUUUAAUGUUGAGAUGCUCCAUGCUAUUACUUUUUUUUUUUAAUGUUUUGGUAAGUUUAAAGACUUUUUCAAUAAAAUUUCUCCAUGAGAGGAGCAGCUUUUCUAACCAUAUAUGUGACGGGGCAUUUAUUUCUGCUUGAAUCUUCUCUGACAAGAAAAAACCUCCCCACGGUCUUCCUUUAUCAAAGAUUCGAGGUCCGCGUGGACAGUUGUUUUUAAGAAAACUGCUGUAUGCUGAAGAAGGUACCGAAAGAUGCUAUCUAGCAUUGGGUACAAACACAACUUUGUCUGUGCUAUCCAUUUCCCAUUUGAGCUGUCAUAAACUCAUAACCUUCCAUGCAAGUUAAGCAGAGGAAGCUGCAGUACUGUGAUUGGACUCUAGAUACCUUUCUAUUUGAAGGGGAGUGCUGCUGUGUUAAUGGAGUCCAGUUAACAAGCUGAUAAUGCACAGCACCAUGACAUGGAAAAGAUAUAUUAAACAUCCUUGGACCACUCACUCGGUCAAGAUCAGCUUGGGCACAUAAAGUGGUUUCUUGACUGCUUUUCUUGUUAUAUUGAUGGGCACCAGGACCAGCAUGAUAUCUUCCCCAAGAUUGCAGCAGCCCACUUCAGCUUCCUUUGUCAGCUUGACCAGAGCUUCCUGAACGAGGGUUGUGCAAUGUAGCACCAUAAGGCAGAAGGGGGGGGGGGGGUUUCUCUGACAUUGAAGCCUGCAAUAUUUAUCAAGACAUGGUCUCAGAAGAUGCCCUUUUGGAUGACCUUGAAGAUAAAGCCUGAACCCUUUCCAUCUCUUGGAACAAGAGAAAUACUGUAGUUAUGAGAACCUGGAUUGCUUAUCUCGGUAGAUUGAUAUUUUUGUAUCUCUUAAGGAGCUAUAAAAUUGUUUAUCAUUCCCAUCCCAGGGGUGUUGGCCAGGCUCA